UACGUAGGUGGCAAGCGUUAUCCGGAAUUAUUGGGCGUAAAGAGCGUGUAGGCGGCCACACAGGUCUGCUGUGAAAACUCGAGGCUCAACCUCGAGCUGUCGGUGGAAACCGUGUGGCUAGAGUCCGGAAGAGGAGAGUGGAAUUCCCGGUGUAGCGGUGAAAUGCGCAGAUAUCGGGAAGAACACCCGUGGCGAAGGCGGCUCUCUGGGACGGUACUGACGCUGAGACGCGAAAGCGUGGGGGAGCGAACAGG
rnacentral:rRNA from 1 species